rnacentral:rRNA from 1 species
UACGAAGGGGGCUAGCGUUGUUCGGAAUCACUGGGCGUAAAGCGCGUGUAGGCGGCUCUUCAAGUCAGGCGUGAAAGCCCCGGGCUUAACUCGGGAACUGCGCUUGAUACUGUCGAGCUAGAGUGUGGAAGGGGCGAUUGGAAUUCCGUGUGUAGCGGUGAAAUGCGUAGAUAUACGGAGGAACACCAGAGGCGAAGGCGGAUCGCUGGGCCAACACUGACGCUGAGACGCGAAAGCUAGGGGAGCAAACGGG